UGUUCUCUCUCCUCUCCCUUGUCCCUCUCAAUCCCACACCCCACCCAAUCUUUCCCACACCGUCGCUCCUCCCAAUCCUGUCGCCGAUGCCUCCUCCGCCCCGAAACGACGGCAGCAGGGACUCCGACACCUCACCCGCCUUCCACCUCCCCCAGCUCGUCUUCUCGCCGGUCGAUUUGGAGGAGCCUCCUUUCGCGCGCCACCGUGGCCGGGCUGCGGCGACCACCAGAGGUCUGCCGCUGGCAGGAGCUCCCUCCUUCUCCACCACGAGGCACCAGCAGAGGAGGAUGACUCCUCCUUCCACCCCUAGCCACGACGUCCAACCACUAACGCCGCCAGAAACCCUAGCCCGAAUCGGGCAGAGGUGCAGCAGCACGGGAUCCCCUCCAAAAGCAGUUGAGGCAGUUGAAGGAAGGGGCGGGCCAUGGAGAAGCUACAAGGGCCGCAUCGAGCGUGCACACACACCACCGUUCCUCGGAGGGCGCCUCGCUGCUGGGGCUCGCCAACUACGCGGACGAGGAGGAGGAUGAGCACCGGGGCCCGAGGGGGCGCGCGAACGGUCGGCCCCGCGAGGAGGAGGAGGAGGAGGACGAGAGGAGGGCUCUGGAGAGGCGACCCAGGCAGGUCGAGCUGCGCCGGGACUGCCCCUACCUCGACACCGUCAAUCGACUGAGGCCGCUUGAUAAGAGGCAGUUUGGGGUGUUUAGGGAUUGUAUGUAUGGGGGCAUUGAAGGCGUUCCUCUGCUCACUAACUGCAGGAGGCUGCCGAAGCUUCAACUGAUUGGCAGAUUAACGACUUGGCUCUCCAAGCAACAAAAUCAGUUCAGCGGCGUUCUUGGUUCCACUUCCUUGCUUAUUGGUCAGAUUAUGAAUCUAGAUUCUGCUAUUUUGGUUCAAAUUCCAUUGAUUUGGUACGAUGCAUCUACAUUGAUGCAUCAACUCUGCUCCAUAAAUAUGGAUACAUAUUGUUUGCUGGUUGUUUUCUUCGAUAGUUUUGUGUUGCCAUUGCUCCCAGUCACCAGAUUUCAAACUUAAUGGUCAAUACUUAUCCAUCAAAUAAAAAAUUUCUACAAGUAUUGCAAUCUCUAUGCAGAAGAUAAAUAAUGUCUGCCUGAGAUUUGGAUGUCUCCGAUCUUAAAUUAUUUGGAUUCCAGUAGUAUGUUAUUGAUGUACUGAUUCUCCUACUGGAGUUAGCAUAUAUUGUUGUAUAAAUCUAACUGUUUAAGACCACAUUAAUUGUGCUAAUGAAGAAAUUAGGAUGGAGGAAUUCCGAAUUUAUUAAAUUUUGAAAAAACUACAUGAUAGUUUCUUCUUUUUGUUGGUCUGAAAUUGCUGCUCCUGUUUGAUUGUUUACCCAUUUUGAUCCCCAUGCACAUGCCAUUAUUUGAUACUAAAACACCAGGGAGAAACCGGCGCUGCAAAGCACACGAUCUCUUCUAGUUUUAUUGUUAAUCAUGCUAUGUUCCAAACUCCUUUUUAUUCUUCUCAUAUGAUAUUGUUCAUGUUUUGUUUUCUGUCCUGAUGCCUGAUGUAUUUACAGUAGUAAUGUUCUAAAUUUAGUGUUUCUUGAACAUGGUCAGGAACUCAAGCAUUGGAUGCUGGCAAAAUAUAAGUUCCUUCACCAUAGGAAGAAAAUAAUUCCACUGAUUCCAGGAUUUGUUAGUUCCGAGUAGUGUUCUAUUGAUAGACCUUGUGGUCAAUCAUUUCACUGUUUCUUAGUUGGUUGUGUUGCUGAUCCCUUUUAAACUUCCUAUUUUUGAUCAUUGGACCAGUUCGAGUUAUCCUAAGUGCCAGCCCUAACAGCAAAGCAUUUUCCUAAGGAUCAUGUCUAGCAAGCCCAACAAAACUAAUAGGGCACACAUGGACAUGCGGCGGCGGCGGCGACGACAACGACAUCAACACGGGGCUGCAGCGACGAUGAUGGAGACAUCGACAUCGACAAGGGGCUGCGGUGGCAACAACGACGACGGCAUCGUCGCGGUGUUGUGGCGGCGGCAACGACGACGGCAUCAUCACGGUGCUGCGGCGGUGGGGACGACAUUGGCAUCAUCACUGUGUUGCGGCGGCGACGACGACGACAUCAACACGGGGUUGUGGAGGCGCCGACGCCGACGACCUAUACGCGUGGUGUGUAUUGUAUAUAUGUAUUAAUUACCUAUAUCAGAUAUGUAUGAUUGACUGUAUACAUAACAUGUACGUAUUGUGAAAUGCAUGUAUGUGAGUACUAUGAAAUGUAUGUCUAAACUGGAAUAAGUAGAUUUUUUUAAACCUAA